rnacentral:lncRNA from 1 species
AGUCCCGGCUAGGGACACAGCUCUUAGACUUUGAGCUAGACAACCAGGAGGACAGGAGGACCUAGUAUCCUGCCUCCAUCAGCCCAUCAUUUAUGCAAAUGCUACUUAGUUGCCGUCUAGAUGCAGGAUGCUGUCUGCCCUGUUAAAUGCUGUGUGAACCCAGAUGGAAGCUGAGCAGACAUCACACUCAUGCUGAGAUUAAAGGCAUGUGCCAUCACCACCUGAACAACAGCAGCUUUCUAAGGAACCAGUAAGGCACUACAGACUUUUCAUAUAACAUCACCUUCAUUCUCUCACAACUAAUUCUACAAAACAGAUGUUAUACGACCUCGUUCGCUGAAGUCAAAGAUGCAGAGGGGCCAAGGUGUGGGCUCCGGACCUCACACCAGUGUGGCAGAUUCAACAAGCCCAGAAUAAGCCUCUUCCUUUGCUCACAAUAAGAUUAAGCCAACUGCCUCUUCAUUCCUCAGUCACACUCCUCCUCUGACCCUGCUCCAGGAGGCUCAUCUUGUCAGACUUCACACUGAAUGAGCGCUGAGGAUGCUGUAGAGUAUGAGCUGUGUGCAGGUGAUAGCAGUGGAAAGAAGACUAAGACAGACUCCAUCUAGAAACCAGAAUGACCUCUUUUAUGGAAAAAGAGACUGUAUCACUCGUGUUUCUACCCACAAAAACCUCCACUGUGAGCUCUCUCUCACCUAGGCAGGAGUCUGCAUGGCCCCGCUCUUGCCACAUCGCCAACCCCAGCCUUUGUCACUCUCUCAUAACCACUCUGUCCCUGUACAGAUACAUGAUCUGUUCCUCCCACACAUCAGCUCUUCCUGACGCUGGGCCUUUGCAUAUGUUCUUCUGCCUCAUGCCUUUCCUCCUCUUCCUGCAGGAUUGCUAUCUUCUGGUCCUGUACUCCUCAAGCUCAAAGGCCAACGUCCUGGCAUUUGUGUGACGGCUUUUGCCCUACCCUGCAGAAUUUGCAAUAGGCAGUCUCUACAUGUACUCAGGGCCCAGUGGGCAUUCAACAUGUUCAUUGAAUGACAA